GUGAAACCAGGACGCCAGUUUUGGCGGAGCCAUCCUUGGGAUACCACCCUUGUAGUACUGGGACUCUAACCAUAGGCCAUGAAUCUGGUCUUGGGACACUGUCAGGUGGGCAGUUUGACUUGGGCGGGCGCCUCCCAAAAGGUAACGGAGGCGCUCAAAGGUUCUCUCAGUACGGUCGGAAAUCGUACGUAGAGUGUAAAGGCAAAAGAGAGCUGGAUUGCAAGACAUACAGGUCGAGCAAGGAUGAAAA
rnacentral:rRNA from 1 species